UAUGUAAAAUGGGUAAAUUGGAGUCUUUAAAGGAGCUGCCAACUUGCAUUUGCCUGAGUUACUUCAGCAGUGGAGAGCAGAGGAAGAAUUCCAGACACGUCAUCCUGAUUUCACAAGUCUGCAGAGAUCUCAGAGUGGCCUUACCCAUCUGUGAGGAAGGCUAUACAUGCAAAUUCACAUUCCUGAAGCAUUCCCACUAACUCUGCCCUUCUGUUCUAGCAGAAUGAGGAAAAACUGUGGGCUGCCAAAAGGUGAAGACAACCACUUUAUCUGCAGGAGAAUAUUCAUUUAUGGCACUUCACUGGUGAUACAGGUUUGAAAUGGGAAAAUGGGCUUAAAGCCUUCUUCAGGAGAGAUUUACUCUCAGCUUUCUCCAGUGUGAUUGCUUUGAGUCUGUAAGGUCAUCAUGGUUGAAGGCAUGAAGAUGAGGACAUCAAAGCCUUUGCCCACUUAUGACAAUUACUCUGGAGACAAACACAGCUCAGAAGACAAAUGUUAUGAGCUACCUGUAAGUUCUGGUUCACAAAACAGAUGAGAAUCCAGAGAUACUCCUGAACUUGGAAAUGAAAUUUAUU